rnacentral:lncRNA from 1 species
CCUCCCGAUAGUUCGCUGUUCGCGGCCGCCUCCUCCCUCGCUGGCGAUUUUGGCCUCCUCAUGUUGGUGUUUUGGCGGUGUUUCUCGGCGGCGCAGCUGACUGGAACGGUGUCAAGGCCUUCCCUGCGCGCCCGCCCGCCGCCCCCUGCUGUCUGGAACGCGCGGAUGGGGUCAGCAGCGCUGCAGGCUCGCAGAUCAAGGUGAGCGGGCUGUUGUGCCGCGGGCGAAGAUGGACUGGUCGGGGUCGGGGAGAAGUGGAGCUCCGGCGACUACGGCGUCGGCGUUGACCGGGAGAGCAAGGGGGGCAGUGAUGCGUCCGUGCCGGCUUUCGUAGUGCAGCGCCCUGGUGAAGAACCACAGGAGCCUGACUGCCUGAGCUUUCACGGUUAAAUCCCUCUCUCAGACCCCUCAAAAUCUCCGGGUCUAAACUUGCACUCUGUUGAUUUCAGGUCUAGUAGGUUUGGGGAUGUCCUCAAACACGCCGAUGCAUCGAGCACGGAGAGCAUCGAGGCGGGCAAAUCUGUUGUUGCCUUGAGUUUUCAACGGUUAGAUGUUUCUCAGGUUUGGGGAUCUAAGCAUUUUUUCCUACAUUUUAUGUCGAUUUUCUGGUGCUAGAUUUGAAACCGCCGUAGAGAUGAACAUAUUGGGGGAUAACCUAUCUAUUUGCAAUUGUCAAUGCAAAUAUUGUGUGUCUUAUGGGUGUCAAUUCAUUGUUCCUGGGCAAACCAUCAAAUUUGCGACUUGUUUUUAGUACUGUGAUUCCACCUUGACAUUUCGGUUGCAUGUUUGAUUCGGGCGAGGUCACAACUUGCAUGUUGUUUGCGAUGUUCGUAGAUGUUGGAGGGUUGCAUUGGCCUGUUUUUGCUAUGUGUACGAAAGCCGCAUCGAGCUAGAAGGAGCGGAUCUGAGCAGCAUGGCCGGAAUCGAGCGAGGCGACCUAAGCAAUUUUUAGUAAAGCAAUUUUUAAUUCAUUUUUCUCGCCUACAUUGAUCAAAUCUUG